rfam:Aedes albopictus isolate Foshan contig28626, whole genome shotgun sequence.
UGUUUUGUGGCUUAGUUGGUUAAAGCGCUGUUCUAGCGAAUUCAGAGUCGUGGGUUCGAAUCCCACCAGAACAC